AGCUAUGGCCAUGCUACCCUGAAUGUUCCUGAUCUUGUCUGAUCUCAAAAACUAAGCAGGGGAGGGCCUGGUUAGUACUUGGAUGGGAGAUCAAAAGGGAACUUCAUUGAAGGUCCGGUGUCUU
rnacentral:rRNA from 1 species